CACCCCUUAGGUCCAGUUUGGUCUAGACAGAGGCAGUUUGCAGUCUCUCAAUUGGCUAACGAAUAAGAGGGAGUGGAUAUUUGUUUUUGACUGUGACAAACUCCCCUUUUUAAGGGAGUUUGCCAUGAGUUUUUGGAGGGGCCUGCUUGCCAGCAUCCUACCCUGGGACUAUAGGCCCUGUGAAAACCCAUGCUCAAAAGUACUGUUUCUGCCCCUGUGGAC